rnacentral:lncRNA from 1 species
CUGCCCAUUCAAUCUUCUCAGACCGCUCUCUCCAUCUCUAUCAAACCUCUUUUACUGUUAGGUAUGAACGCAACUCUUCCUGUCUCCCUUUCUGAAGCAAAAUGCAAUCAAAAUCCUUCUCUCUUUCUUCAAAACUCCGUACAUCUUUCUACUCAAUUUGUUUGAUUUAGUAGGCAAUUGCAAUUUCUGUUAAACGUUCUUCUUUUUUCGUUCAAUCAAUCACUAUAUGAAAUUGUAAUGCAUGUUAAUGGCGUGAUUCAAUUCAUCUUUUGCUGUUUAUUUCCUGAGAAAAGUUCCGCCAGAGAACACAGCUGACAUCACAAACGCGAAAUUCAGUGUAUCUUUAUGCUUUUUACACAAUUCUUUUGUUAGUAACAUAAUUUUUGUUAACUUGUAUCCCUUUUUCUUUUAAUGUUUUGCUUCUUUUUGGAACUUUUGCAGAUCUUAAGUUGGGAAAUAUAUAUCAUUUGUAAUCACGACUUUAAUUUUGCAAUUACAGAAAAGCAAUCGCUUCGUUUUUUCAGGUCCGUUAUGUUGCUUCAUUCACUGUAUAGUAGUCGAUGAAAUUAUUUACUUUUGUAGCACGCAUAUUAUUUAGUGUUAUUACUUUUUGCUCGUAAAAACUCUAGCUUACUCACAUAUGUUGAUUCAGGUUUGUAUUCAUUGUGUGUGUGUGUGUGUGUGUGAGAGAGAGAGAGAGAGAGAGAGAGAGAGAGAGUUGGAGAGUUGGAGAGAGUUGGAUCCACCUGUGCUCAGAGUUAUCGGAGUUUCAUUUCUUUAAGGAUUCUAAGAAGCAUCGUUUUUGUAUUCAAAUGUGAAGCUUUAGGAGUACUGGAGUAUUAAGUUUUACUAGUGGUACUGUCGUACUGCUGCUUGUUGAAUAUUUGGUGCCUGCGUAUUUGUUGUCACAUGUAAACUUUUCUUUUGUUUGUUUGUUUUUCUGUUCCGUUUAUUGCUAUUGAUAUAUCAUUCCAGUUUGAAGAACCAUAUCUUGAUAUAUAAAAUGGUUUUACGUUAGAGGAGGAGAUAAUCAUGCUUUAUGCGUGUGUGGUAUAAUCUUAGUGCUCUGCUAUAAGGUUGUGUAGGUGGUGCGCUUUCCUUCCUGUGGACAUUAUCUGAAAUAAUAAUCCUAUGGAAAUAUGUACGAGCUCUAUGUAUGAAAAACAAUUAUAGAAAGAAAACCAAGUAUAGAUAGAGUUAGAUAUAAGUAUAUCUUUUAGAACUCACAACAUGUACAUCCAAUCCGCCGAUGGUACUAGACAAUGUAACUUCAAGUGGCUUCACAUAUUAAAAGAACACGGACAGCUUCACAACAAUGGUCUGGUACUAGAAGAUGGCCUAGAAUACCAACUCGCAUCUAGUAAAAUUUUUGACGCCAAGGUACCCUUGAUUAGGAGUCUUUGACAUAUCGCAAGGUUUUUCUCCCUUCAAGUUAGUGAUAUAGGGUCUCAUAACCCAAUAGACUUUCCCUAUAUUGAUUAUAUCAGAUCUUUGGUCUUUCUUUAUUCUUGUGCUAUAAUGAAAUAAGGCCCCUCUAGCUUCAAAGGGGAGUGGUCUUGCCAUCAAAGAGUUGGAGUGACAAAAUUGAGAACCAAUGUUCGACUCCAGCAAAGAUGACACUAGGUGAGUUCUUUGUGCGAAUUAUCCGACAUCUAUGUUGGUGGGAGAUAACAGAAACCUGAUGAAGUAGUCAAGAUGGCCUAUGAGGAGAAAACUUCUUAUAUGUUACUAGAG